GAUCAUGGCUCAGAUUGAACGCUGGCGGCAUGCCUUACACAUGCAAGUCGAACGGUAACGCGGGGCAACCUGGCGACGAGUGGCGAACGGGUGAGUAAUAUAUCGGAACGUGCCCAAUAGUGGGGGAUAGCCCGGCGAAAGCCGGAUUAAUACCGCAUGAGACCUGAGGGUGAAAGCGGGGGAUCGCAAGACCUCGCGCUAUUGGAGCGGCCGAUAUCAGAUUAGGUAGUUGGUGGGGUAAAAGCCUACCAAGCCGACGAUCUGUAGCUGGUCUGAGAGGACGACCAGCCACACUGGGACUGAGACACGGCCCAGACUCCUACGGGAGGCAGCAGUGGGGAAUUUUGGACAAUGGGCGCAAGCCUGAACCAGCCAUGCCGCGUGAAGGAAGAAGGUUCUAUGGAUUGUAAACUUCUUUUAUUUAGGAAUAAACCUCCCGACGUGUCGGGAGCUGAAGGUACUAAAUGAAUAAGCACCGGCUAACUCCGUG
rnacentral:rRNA from 1 species